CCUACGGGUGGCAGCAGUGAGGAAUAUUGGUCAAUGGGCGCGAGCCUGAACCAGCCAAGUAGCGUGAAGGAUGACUGCCCUACGGGUUGUAAACUUCUUUUAUAUGGGAAUAAAGUGAGGCACGUGUACCUUUUUGCAUGUACUUUAUGAAUAAGGAUCGGCUAACUCCGUGCCAGUAGCCGCGGUAAUACGGAGGAUCCGAGCGUUAUCCGGAUUUAUUGGGUUUAAAGGGAGCGUAGGUGGGUUGUUAAGUCAGUUGUGAAAGUUUGCGGCUCAACCGUAAAAUUGCAAUUGAUACUGGCAGCCUUGAGUACAGUUGAGGUAGGCGGAAUUCGUGGUGUAGCGGUGAAAUGCUUAGAUAUCACGAAGAACUCCGAUUGCGAAGGCAGCCUACUAAGCUAUAACUGACGCUGAAGCACGAAAGCGUGGGUAUCAAACAGGACUAGAUACCCGAGUAGUC
rnacentral:rRNA from 1 species